rnacentral:rRNA from 1 species
GAUGAACGCUGGCGGCGUGCCUAAUACAUGCAAGUCGAGCGAACGGACGAGAAGCUUGCUUCUCUGAUGUUAGGGGCGGACGGGUGAGUAACACGUGGAUAACCCACCUAUAAGACGGGUAUAACUUCGGGAAACCGGAGCUAAUACCGUAUGAUAUUUUGAACCGCAUGGUUCAAAAGUAAAAGACGGUCUUGCUGUCACUUAUAGAUGGAUCCGCGCUGCAUUAGCUAGUUGGUAAGGUAACGGCUUACCAAGGCAACGAUGCAUAGCCGACCGGAGGGGGGGAUAGGCCACCCGGGAAGUGAGACGCGGUCAAGACUCCUACGGGAGGCAGCAGUAGGGUACCUGCGGCAGUGGGCGAAAGCAUGGCGGAACGGGGGCGAGUGAGUGGUGACAGUCUUCGGUGCGUAAAAACGUGUUAUUAGGGAAAAACAUCUGUGUAAGUAACCGUGCACAUCGUGACGGUACCUAGUCAGAAAGCCCCGGCUAACUACGUG